rfam:Myotis lucifugus cont2.18351, whole genome shotgun sequence.
CUGCCUCUUGCUUCAACAGUGUUUGGGCGAACAG